rnacentral:rRNA from 1 species
GAUGAACGCUGGCGGCGUGCCUAAUACAUGCAAGUCGAGCGAACGGACGAGAAGCUUGCUUCUCUGAUGUUAGCGGCGGACGGGUGAGUAACACGUGGAUAACCUACCUAUAAGACUGGGAUAACUUCGGGAAACCGGAGCUAAUACCGGAUAAUAUUUUGAACCGCAUGGUUCAAAAGUGAAAGACGGUCUUGCUGUCACUUCUCGCUGGAUCCGCGCUGCAUUAGCUAGUUGGUAAGGUAACGGCUUACCACGGCAACGAUGCAUAGCCGACCUGAGAGGGUGAUCGGCCACACGGGAACUGAGACACGGUCCAGACUCCUACGGGAGGCAGCAGUAGGGAAUCUUCCGCAAUGGGCGAAAGCCUGACGGAGCAGCGCCGCGUGAGUGAUGAAGGUCUUCGGAUCGUAAAACUCUGUUAUUAGGGAAGAACAGAUGUGUAAGUAACUGUGCACAUCUUGACGGUACCUAAUCAGAAAGCCACGGCUAACUACGUG